GGGAUUCAAAUUUUAUUUUUAGACUUUUCAAGAGGAGUCAGAGAUUAAUCUUUAUAAUCAGGAUGCUUAGAGUACUAGUACCCUUCCGAAGAAUACAUCAAUAGUCUUUUUUGAUAAAGAAGCAUAAGCUUACAACCUUUUAAUUACAAAAGAAAGUAAAGGUAAUAAAAUGUAUCUUGUACACUGAUAUUUAAGGCAAAUGAUGCAAUAAAACAUUUACAGGAACCCCUAAAUUGUUGCGAAUAGUACUGUGCUUUCAAAUUCUGUGGAUUUAGUAAAAACAAAAAUGCAGUUUUACUGAUAAAUAAAUUAUUGCCCAAUAAUCCUACAUGUAUAUCCAAAAUAUUUGCUAUCGGAUAUUUCUCCUCAAUAAACAUUGAUCUGUUCAUAAAUCAAUUUUGGGGUUGGUUCGCUUUUUUUCCACAUUUGGUGCACUUUUAAUUUUAUAAAGACCGUUUUAUACAUUCCUUCAUGAAACAGAUCAACGUUUGAUUUGAAUUAAAAUUAUACUGUUAUCAGAAUGUUUUAAAUGAAACAAAAAGGGACAAUGUUACGAUAACAAUCUUGAAUCAUUAAAUAAUUAUUUUUUU
rnacentral:sRNA from 1 species